GGGGCCGUGGGGGAGGUGAUCCACACAUUUUUGCUCUUACAAACAUUCACAUGCACACAAUUGGACACAAACACUCGCACACACGUUUCGUUAGCCACUUCAGAGUCAAGGUGGAGGCACUUCAGCGUGUGUGACACAGAGCUACUAUGGAGACACCGUAAGACGUAUCUAGUAAUCCGUGUCUUCCCAGUUCUCAGUAUAGGACCGCAUGUAUUAAGAUUCAGAGGGACUGAGAGACUCUAUGUAGAUGUCCAAAAGUAGCAAGAAAGUACCGGUAGCCUGAAUGGGACAAGAGCUCCUGUGAACCUUCUAGAUGUAAAUAUUCUGGUACUUCCUGAUUCACAGCACAGGCUCCAGAGCUGCAAGGCCAGCGAGCGCCCCCUCUGGUCGCAUAAAUACACUCCACUCAGUCCACUAGAGGGCACUCUAAUCAAGGGAGAGUUGAUUAUUAUUAUUAUUAUUAUUAUUAUUAUUAUUCCCCCCCUCCCUUUUUUAACUUCAUACUGCACAGUAUACCACAGGAGCGGACAGGUUUUUAAAAACCACACUAAUACCGAUGACACUCUGUGUAUACGCGUCGACUCCUACUGACACAUGACCAGUCACGGACCUUCAAAGCUUCAGCUGGUAAUACAGUUCUGUUAGCAUUUAGUAAUGAAGGGCAGGUGGACAGUAAUUCGCAUUGGCGUGAAACACAAACCAAGACACGCACUAACAUCUUGGUUAAAGUGCAUGUCGUACAGGGACGGAUACCAGUAUAGGACAAGGGGCAAAGAAACUCCUUCGUAUGUCCAGUAUUCAAUGUCAAUAUGAGGAUUCUUAAAAGAGCUGAUGUUUUCGUAUAUUAUUUGUGUGUAUUUGUUUUUCGUUUUGUUUGUUUUUUUUAAUUUUUUGUUCUUUUUGUUUAAAUUUUUUUCUGAAUUUUAUCAGACUGGGCAGCUUUCUUUUAUGACACAAGCUGACUCUUUUUGACUUUAGUAAACUUAUUGUAGAGAAAAUGUUUUUUCUAUAAUAUAAAAACGAAAAAAUUGACAUGGAUAUUGGUACUGUCAUUUUUCACUUCUGUUUCAGGAACAACAAAAAAAAUAUCCUACAUAUUUUUAGCUCAACUUGGGGUAAUAUUAUUAAGAAAUUCAAA
ensembl:lncRNA